rnacentral:rRNA from 1 species
UACGUAGGGUGCGAGCGUUAAUCGGAAUUACUGGGCGUAAAGCGUGUGUAGGCGGUUUGUUAAGUCGGGUGUGAAAUCCCUGGGCUCAACCUGGGAAUUGCAUUCGAUACUGGCAAGCUAGAGUACGGUAGAGGGCGGCGGAAUUCCGGGUGUAGCGGUGAAAUGCGUAGAUAUCCGGAGGAACACCGAUGGCGAAGGCAACCGCCUGGGCCUGUACUGACGCUGAGACACGAAAGCGUGGGGAGCAAACAGG